rnacentral:rRNA from 1 species
AGUCUAGCAUGUGCGCGAGUCAUUGGGACUCAAUAAACCUAAAGGCGCAAUGAAAGUGAAAGUCUGUUUACGCGGACUUAGGGAGGAUAGGUGCGUAUACGUUGUUUACAACCUCGCACUCCCGGGGCGUCUCGCACUCAUUGCGAGGUGGGGCGCACCAAGAGCGUACACGCUGGGACCCGAAAGAUGGUGAACUAUGCCUGGUCAGGACGAAGUCAGGGGAAACCCUGAUGGAGGUCCGUAGCGAUUCUGACGUGCAAAUCGAUCGUCGGAACUGGGCUUAGGGGCGAAAGACUAAUCGAACCAUCUAGUAGCUGGUUCCCACCGAAGUUUCCCUCAGGAUAGCUGGCACUAGAUUAUGGAUGAGUCUCAUCCGGUAAAGCGAAUGAUUAGAGGCAUUGGGGUCGAAACGGCCUCAACCUAUUCUCAAACUUUAAAUGGGUGAGAUCUCCGGCUUGCUCGAUUUAUGAAGCCGGAGAUCGGAUCAAUUAGUGCCAAGUGGGCCACUUUUGGUAAGCAGAACUGGCGCUGUGGGAUGAACCAAACGCAGAGUUAAAGCGCCAAAAUCGACGCUUAUGGGAUACCAUGAAAGGCGUUGGUAACUUAAGACAGCAGGACGGUGGCCAUGGAAGUC